UACGAAGGGGGCUAGCGUUGUUCGGAAUUACUGGGCGUAAAGGGCGCGUAGGCGGUGUGUCAAGUCAGGCGUGAAAGCCCCGGGCUCAACCUGGGAACCGCGCUUGAGACUGGCACGCUAGAGUUCGGGAGAGGAUGGUGGAAUUCCCAGUGUAGAGGUGAAAUUCGUAGAUAUUGGGAAGAACACCGAUGGCGAAGGCAGCCAUCUGGACCGACACUGACGCUGAGGCGCGAAAGCGUGGGGAGCAAACAGGAUUAGAUACCCGCGUAGUCC
rnacentral:rRNA from 1 species